rnacentral:misc_RNA from 1 species
GGAUCUGCUGCUACAUCCUGCAAUACUUGUGUGCGUUCUGCAGCAGAAUGGUGUAUCUCAUUUCUGUACACACAGUUGUUUUCAGCAGGCUCCUGAUGGUCGCAAUUACGGCAAGCAUAAAGGAGGAUCUUCUGCUCCUUAUCUUCCUUUGGAUACAAAAUGUUGUUACAUUCUCGGCAAAAUUUCAUAGUACUCAUUUUCGCAAGUUUUUUCUUUGAAUUUCGAAGCUUUUACAGAGAAAAUUGAGCGAUUUGUUCUAAGCUUUUGCUAU